UGGCUUGACUGGCAUUAUCGUUCAACCCACCCUGAAGCCGCUCGCUGUCCGUCAAAAGUAUUCCAAUCAAAACACUCAAUUACAGUUGGUUUAGCGUAGCGUGAGUGCGGACUUAUGGAUGGUGGUGCUCCGGGAGCCGUGGCUGACGCCGUGUGAGGCCUACCGCUGGUGUUUGUAGCCGGGCCGCCCGUGAAAAGGUGCUUCCGAGCGAUGGACGAGCAACAAAGAAUGAUGCACCCAGUAUCACAACAUCCCAUCGUGAGCAUGGCGGGCCAUGUCGUGCCCCAGCAUGGUUACGGAAUGCCUCCGCAAUCGCACGGUGUCGACCCGACGGGCCAACAGGCCGCACCCGACCAGGAGCCGAGGAAGCACGACAUUUCGGAAAUUCUCCAACAGAUCAUGAACAUCACCGACCAGAGCUUGGACGAAGCGCAAGCUAGGAAACACACGCUCAACUGCCACCGAAUGAAGCCCGCUCUCUUCAGCGUCCUCUGCGAAAUCAAAGAGAAAACAGUGCUGAGCUUACGGAACACGCAAGAGGAAGAGCCCCCUGACCCGCAGCUGAUGCGGCUGGACAACAUGCUGAUCGCCGAGGGCGUGGCGGGACCCGAGAAGGGCGGCGGUGCCGGCGCGGCCGCCAAUGCCUCAGCCGCCGCAUCGGCCGGCGGACAGCCCGAAAACGCCAUCGAGCACUCCGACUACCGGGCCAAGCUCGCGCAAAUCCGCCAGAUCUACCACCAGGAGCUCGAGAAGUACGAGCAGGCGUGCAACGAGUUCACGACGCACGUGAUGAACCUGCUGCGCGAACAGAGCCGGACGCGUCCCAUCACGCCCAAGGAGAUCGAGCGCAUGGUCCAGAUCAUCCACAAGAAGUUCAACUCCAUCCAGGUGCAGCUCAAGCAGAGCACCUGCGAAGCCGUCAUGAUCCUCCGCUCCAGGUUCCUCGAUGCCAGGCGGAAGAGGCGGAACUUCAGCAAGCAGGCGACGGAGAUCCUGAACGAGUACUUCUACUCGCACCUUAGCAACCCGUACCCGUCGGAGGAAGCCAAGGAGGAACUCGCAAGGAAGUGCGGCAUCACUGUCUCUCAGGUGUCUAAUUGGUUCGGCAACAAGCGGAUACGAUACAAGAAGAACAUAGGGAAAGCGCAAGAAGAGGCCAAUCUCUACGCAGCAAAAAAGGCAUUCCCGAAAAAGAAAACAGACAGACAUACGGCCGGCGCUUCAGCCUACAGCAUGGUGCCGACGACGCAGGGUCAGCAGGGUCCUAUGAUAAGCCCACCGCCGCCGGGCGCGCCGCAAGACUCCAUGUACAACAUGAGUAUGAACGGCGGAGACUCCUACCAGAACGCCAUGGGCGCCAACGUGCAAUCGCAGCUCUGCAAUUUGGAGACGUGGGCCUGAGGCAGCGGCGGCGGCGAUCGUUGAUGAUGGCUCGCGGGAUGAAGCUCGCCUCUGCUCUUUGGCAGCGCCAGUGUCGCGUCGUCGUCGCCUGCCGACCUAACCGCCGGCUUUUUGUAAAGACAGAAAGACACGUUACGCGGGAAGUCUCCCCCCUCCCCCUCCCAUCCUCACCUUGUCUCCUUCUUGCCCCGUUUCUUUCUUUUUUUUCUCCCUCGCCCCUGCGUCGGCCCAGGAAAAGAAUGCAAAAGAAAGGGGCAGAAGGAAACCACCAAAUGCAAAUAAGGACACCGGUGUGCACGCGUGCGUGUGUUUGUUCUCUGCGUGGCUCUUGUGUGCGUGCGUGCUCGCGCAACUCUGCCAAGUUUCGGCGAAAAGAAAGAAAGAAAAAGAAGGCAAGGGAGCUGACGGCGUGACAUCGUCACCACGGCGUUCCCCGGGAAGAAAACGAAGGCUGGAAAUUGAGCAAAAAGAAGAUGUCUGAGGAAAGCUGGCUGGGAACGUGGCGCUGUUCCCGUCUGUGAAGAAAAUGGCGGAGCGUCGACCUGCCGGCAAGUUCUGCGCGCUGGACCGACGCAAAGACCGUACCCAAAGGAGGAGGAGGAGGAAGAAGUCCCCACCAUCCCACAUCAUCCCCCGUGCGACGCGACGACCACCACCACUACCGCCGCUGCUGCUGCUGCUGACCCUGCGUGCUGCCGCAGUUCGACCCCAGAGUCGUGGGGGAAGAAAAAAAAAGAAAAUCCGCUUCUGCGUCUUUCGCGUUCCUCUUCACCGCCAUCCAUGAAAACGAGGGAGAGAGAAAGAGAGAGAGAGAACUCCCGACACCAGUCGGACGGAAAAAAACGACGUGUGUCGCCUCUCCCGGCACGCGCCGCCACCUGCCGCGUGCUCACGUGUGUAAAAACUGCUGCGCGGCACGGUGCUGUGACGGCAACCGCGGCUCCAGUGCCAGCGGUUGUGUGUACCUGCCCGCCGGCAGGCCUUCCAUCCCAUCCGAAGCCGGACUUGCAAAGACUGUGCUUAUUAUUAUUAUUAUUAUUUGCCCCCCGAAGAGCGAGCCCCCCUUCAUCGUUGUGCACGUCAUGUCGUGUCGGUUACGACGUUAUUGAACUGCUCGUCGUAGGGACUGACGCCAGAGGGACCUUCUUUUACCACUUGGCCGUUCGUUGAUUUGUACCGCGUAUGUCCGUGAGCCUCUUGCCACGUACGCCGCCGGUGUCGUUGCCGGGUACCGAUCGCGUUGCCUUGUGACGCCAUUAUAGCUCCCAGUGUGCAGCCUCUUGUCCCAUUUCGGCGGCAGUGUUUGUCGCUGUCAAGCAGAGGCGCUCUUCGCACUAGCUAGCUUCGUGAUUUCACCCGAGUUGUCGAAGCUGGUUGUACUCGCCAAGUUCACUGUUAUCCUGAAAGCUGGAGCAUGUCACUUUCUUUUUUUUUUAGCCCUUGACGCAGAGGUCGCUUCUACUAGAAGAGCCAGGGUAGGGGCCAGUUGGUUAUUCAUAGUGUAAACUUAAUCGCGCUAAAAGUCGCGACAAGUUUACACUAUGUCGCUUCUACUUAUACCUCCUGAUGAGCUACGGUCAAAUGUGGUUGUGCAUAUUACGUUGGAAGUUGAGCACACAUAAGCGGUCGUGAUAGUUUAGCUUGACACUUUGUAUUUACUUCGAGACAACGUGAAGUGGUCUCGUGCAUUAAUUAAUAAUAAUUUCUGGUGUUUUACAUGCUAAAAUCACGUGCAUUGAUUGGGAGAACGGAUAGUCCCUACUGUUCUUUUUCAAUCACUUUUACCAUUGGCAGUUAUUCUGACUGAAUACUCUGUCACUAAAAACGCGUGCUCGAAUGCUGACCCUAAGCACGCGAGAUCGAAUUACGGCCGCGGAGGCUGCAUUUCGAUGGAGGCGAAAUGCUAGAGGCCCGUGUACUUUCACUUAGUUGCAUGUUAAGGAACCCCAGGUGCUCGAAAUUUCCGGACCCCUCCAGUACGGCGUCACUCAUAAUCAUAUCGUGGUUUUGGGAAGUAAAACCCCCAUAAUAGUUAUUAUUAUUAUCUUUGACUAAAACAGCGAUGUGUCGUGGCGCGUCUGGCAGAUUUUAAUGGCCGCACAUUCGCCCAUUUUUAUAACACUGCAAUACUGAUCGAACUACUUCCAACCUGAAAGAAACACGCUUGCACUGGUACGAGAUAUGGCGUUUGACAGCUACUAAUGGAGAGCGUUCCCGCGAUCCGCGUAUAAGUUGCCGCCGAACUGGGACGUCUGAGUCGUACAGCGAAUGGGAAAUGUAAACGAGACUCAAACCGGGACGCGGUGAACGAUGCGUGGGCGCUCACGGACACACGUGUUCCUUGUCACAUUUUUUUUUAAGUACUUCCGAAUUGCUUGUCUGUGUUUGUUCACUUGGGAACGAAUGUUGCGACUGCUGCGAAGCCCAUCACCACUACGUCUCGGACGACUGUCUCAAAUGUGUAAGAUAAGAAGAUCAGUGAAUCUCUCCCGAUUUUCAGCACCUCUAACCCUUCGCUAACCUGGCCAUCCGCCACGUGUAGUUAAACGUGAACAUCGCUUCCUUCACUCGCCGGCGUUCAUUGUCGGCCUCGUUGGUGCUUGCCGGGCCGCCAGUGUGAUGGAUGUGUGUGUGUGUGCUGUCGACAGUAUUCACGGUUCUCAUCUCUCAGUUAUCGGGGCGGGAAACAUCUCGGGCCUGAAGGAGGAACUGUGCUUAUGAGCUUCCUCUUGCAACUCUCGCUCGCUAUAGGCCGCAUAUUCUGCGUACAAAACGGGUUCAGACGUGCUGUGGCGCGGGCCGUUUGAGGUCUGUGCAGAUCGAUGUCACUUACGCUGAAUAUUAAAGGAGUGUAGACACCAAAAUCGCACGGUAACCUGACACGAAAGUGACUACGCGGCAUGAUAUUUGAGUGCUUUUAAGGAAUGCUGUGGCUAAUUUUGACAGGAAACAGACGUCUUAAACUUAUUUGAAUCUUGAAGCCUAGAAACGAAGCGUUGCCUCCUUUUCCAGGCUUUAUCGCGAUGACCAUUAGCGAAAACGUAAAAAGAGCGAUUGCAAAAUGUGUGACGCUGGAGAUGUUCACAGCGAAUAUGACGACUGCGACCACAUAUGAAAAUGCUGCAGCGUGCGGUGCCAACGGAUCAAAAACGAAAAUGCUUUUGCACCGCCACUUCGCUUCCCGGCGGACGCCCAUGGUCGGAUACUCCCGACGCUGAUAGCGACGGCGAAAUAGUCUCGCUGCCGGGAGACUCGGCUGCGCGUUUCGCCACAGUUGGUGCGGCGAAGUGGAGGCGCACGUGCUAUAAAUGUAGCAGACUGCUCAACGGUUUACUGCUGUCACGUGAUUACUCAAUUAUGUCGUCAGACGAGGUAUUGUACCUUUUCGCGGGAGUUUUUGAAAUCUUCAUCCGAAGCUUUUGGUAUAUACACUCCUUUAAUGCGAGAAUACUAAUCCAAAUUGGGCAAUAAGUUAGAGGGAGGGGGCGGGGGGUUGAGGGGAGGCUUCAUGUACCGGAACGAUCACUUUCGGAGAUGCCUUUAGCCAGACCUAUCCGGUGUACACGUGACAAUAACUCGAAUGCGCCCGCCCACAGCUUGCCAACAGACGUGCAGUGCGACUGAUAUCCACGAAAAAGGUUGAUCGAGGUGUGUCGACAAGGAUUGAACUGUUAAGUUACAAAAACGGCGUCGCCAGAACUAUUAGGCCGUUAUUGCUUUGUGGCGCCCACAAUUAUUGAAUAAAAUGGCGCGUUUUCUACAAUACGUGCGCGCUGCUACUCCUCGAUUCUACCCGAGAUGUUUGCCGUUCUUUCUUUUUUUUUUUUUUUCAUUUCGUUGACCUGUGUUGAUCACGAGCAGUGUCCUUCAGUGUCGACACGAUUUUGUUACUAUUUUAAGUAUGAUCUGUUUGGUAGUCCCCUGUUAUGCCACUUCCGGUGACUGUUGCUUCUUCAAAGAAGCUAGUACUGUGCGCUGCAGCUGCGGCAGGCUUUUUGAGCCUGGACGCAAAAAAGAAAGAAUACAAAAACUAUGUCGUGGCCGACACUUAUUACAACUUUGCAGGGGUCAAUAUCUCACUUCGCGAUGGUGCUUCCCCCUUGACUUGGUGGUGAAAGCUUGAACUAAUUGCAUUUUCCCGUUUCAACGUCAGGAAUGUUUUUUUUUUUUCGAGUACCCGUGAAUCGUUCUUAGCUUCCAGAUUAAAAUUGCUGAUGACGCAAAUUAAUAUCUCUGCCAUCUCUCGUUGAACAGUUUGCCGCUCGGUACUUCGGAGGUCUGCUCAAUGCGAUGCCCUAUUCGUGUCUCAUCUGAACUAUUGGGCUUGUCUAGGAAGUAGCCAUCUAGGAGCUGUAUGUUGUAAAGAUCCCCCCCCCCUUGCUUAUUUGUUUUUCGUUUAUUAGUCUCAUCAUCAGCGAUAUCGGGGCGGUUGCAACAAGUAAGAGGGAUAGAAUCACCACAAAAUGAAUCUCCAUGACCGAUGUAACGUGUAACGAUGCAUUUCGUUCUAAUCUUCCUUUUCGUACGCCACUCACUAGCAGCUCUCGAUAAAGUAGAUGAAACGCAGCUCGCAUUACUUACGAGACGUGAAACUGAACAGUUAGAAUCGAUGCGAUUAGCCCGUCACUUGUGUGGUGCCGGUCCAUAGCAUAUGUUAAUGGGAAAUUAGUUUUGCGGAAUCCCAAAAGGUCGAUUAACGGUUAUGAAAGGGAAUAUUGGCAACCAUCCGUCUGUAACACGAAGCUACAAAGAAAUCCAUACCGAUUUCUCAGAAAGUACAGCUUCUUAGUUGUGGGUUCGUGUUGCAAACGAACGAAUGGCAAUUUUCCCUUCCAUAUACUGAGUCAGUGAGGCAGCAAAUAGUUGCGCGUUCGUUUCAAUUGAAGCUCGCAGCGAUAGGCGCUUAGCUGACGUUCCAGGCCGCGUGUUCGAUUGCCAUCUGCGGUGUACGCACUCCAGCUGGGGCUAAUUGGUGCGACACCCGUAUAAUAUAGAGUGAUUUGUCAGAAUUAUUCCGGAGCGGUCACCUACAUUGAAUCCUGCGGAGUCCAGGUUAGAGGGAUGGAGUAAGAUGACUCCUUGCAAAUUUGAGGGAGAGGGAUAGGGCUGAGUAUGGUUUACUAUAGACGCUUCAAAUUGAACCUUCGUGGUGAGUUCAAGGACACCAGGCGCGCGCUUUAUUUGAACCGUUCAAUUUAUCCAUCACAGCUGAAUGAGUUGACAUGGACUAUGUCUUCCGUAGGUGAGACGGUAACACGAUGGUCUCGGGUGGGUGAAAUUUAACCUUUUUGUUUAGGAGUAAGCCAGAUCAAGCUAUCUUUACCACGUAACGAUCCUUGUCGUGCUGUGCGAUUCUAGUAGGGCUAGAUAUGAUUUGGCCUGCGCGUCGGUGAAAAUUGCGAAAGACGCAGUGCGAUCAAACUCGUGCUUUCUUUUGGACCCUAAUCAAUAUGAAAAAAAAAAAAUGGACAGCUGGACCAGCAUGGCGUAGGUAAUACCAGCGCCACAGUCGAGUGAGGCAUCAGCAGCGGCGCUGAUUAUGAUCGGGCUCAUUAUCUCACGGCAGCGUACCCCCUCCAACUCGGCGCAUGGCCUCGCCGCCGCUCACAAGUUUUCUGAUUAAUUCCAACGUAGAACUCGGCGUGCUUGUCUUUAUAUUCUCCUCGGUAUUGCGCGCUGGAAGUCCUUCCCUCCUUCCGAGCUCGUCUUACGCCAGUGGAAGGACGGGUGAGGAGAUUCUCUGGUGCUCGACCCAGUUACGGUCUUUCCUCAAGAAUCUUUCUCAGUCCCACGCACAUUCUCUGGCGCUGUGUUGCUCGUGUUUCCCAGGCGGCCUGCUUGUUCCUCGACUCGCCAGGCGCGCGCCAGAGAGCCUCGGGUUCUCUUUUUUCAUUUAUUUUUUCGGACCUCGGCGCUUUCGGGCCGUGGGACGCCGCUGGUGGGAAGAAAAGUUUUCGGGAAGCGGCAGGGCCGUGAUCGUUGCCUCUCCUCUGGCUGCGUUCUUCGCUCCGGGCAGUGUGCGGAGGCGGGGGAAGGAGUGCGCGCUAGUAACAAGCAGCGACAUAGGCACGUUCUCCCGUAGCAGACGCGAAGAGAAAGUAAAAUGAAGGCUAUCUCAUUUUCUUGGGUGUCUCAGAUGUGCUGCUUGGGCAACGGUUAGAAAACUAGUGCUCGUGCUGAGAUAGCGAAGGGUAGAGGGGGGGAGGAAGCGAUAGAAAGUGGUCUUUUUUGGCCGCCCAUUGGACAAGGCGGUUUCGUCCCCUCCUCGACUGGACCAAUGAGCGAUUUGAGACACGCCCACUUUCUUGCGGCGUUCUCUCCCUUCCACCACCUCCUCGCAUCUGCGGGUGAGCGUCUUUCCGAUGCUCGCCUCUGGGUUUCCGUGCGGGGAUGGGGAGCCCGCACUCCGCCGUGCUCCGCGAGCGGUGGGCGAGAGGCGGCUGCUCGCGGCGCAUGCGCACUCUCGUGCGCUGCGCGAGCGCGCUCCGGGCCGAGUCUCGGCCGGGGUCCUGGCGGGCUCGGACGCCGACGGAGCCCGGGGUUCGUCUACGUGACUGGGAGCCGCUUUGUAUCGCCGGGAAGCCUUUUGAGAAUUGAUCAAUGCGUCCAUCCUGUUGCUUGGCGGAAUCUGCACUUUCCUAUUCCUCGCUUGUCACGUUCUCUGUAGGAAUGAAA